UGGUGACCUCACCACCUCCCUGGGCAGCCUCUGCCAACACAUUACCACUCUUUGGGAGAAGUUGUUCCUAAUAUCCUACCUGAACCUUUCAUGUUCUAUAGAAGGCAUCCACAGCUUUUCUGCCUUCCAGCAAGGCUAACCCUACCUUUGACUUGCAAUGAUGCAGUGGUCUGUUGAUCCCCUGAGUCACACGUGUAAUCACCCGCAUCCUGAGCCUCGGCAUCGUAGAUGAAGAGCUCGACACGUGUCCCCUCUUGCCGGACCUCAUACUUGUCACCUGAGUGCAGCACCGUAUCUCCUUUCCUCCACUCCACGGGUGCGUUGGGUUUCGUCAGCUCACAGUGCAACAUAACGGUGCGCCCUUCCUCCACCUCCUCGUUUUCCAUCCGGUGUUUGAAAAGCACGGGGAGAGCUUCAAGGGAGGGAGUGAUGCAAAGAGAACAAACAGGCAAAACACAGAUAGAAAAUAGAGGACUGUUUUGUUGACAAGGUACUGGUAAGAACUGGAGCGGUAGUGCCAAUCGUGAAGUUCACGUACAAUUCUGGCUUUGUUUACCCAGGUAAGAGGGAUGUCUAUUUCCAAGCCAGACAGAGGAGGAGAAGGGAUAGAGUUAACCAGCAGGAAAGAAAUCCAAUUCUAUAGGACCUGCAUUUCUUUCCUUAUAUCCUAAAUGUUUUUUCAAAAAGAAUUCCCAACUAAUUUCAAUAAUCUUUUUUGAAGCCCAAAUGGUUUUUCAUCCAAAAAUAAGAAAAUGGAAUGGAUAGAAGUGAUCAAAGAAUACAUUCCUGCUGACCCAAAGCUGUACCAUUUCAAGAACAAUUUCAGACCAUGCAGGAAAGGAUCAGUUAGGGAAUGGUUAAGGCUGGGGGGGGAUCUCUGGAGGUCUUCCAAGGAGGGAAUUCCUCCACCUCUGUGUCACCGCUUCAUCAUGACUACCCCUCAUCACAAAAGACACCAAUGAGAUCCCCCUUCAACCUUCUUCUCCUCAAGCUGAACAAACCCAGCUGCCUCUGCCUCUCCUGAUACUUCACCUCGUCCAGUCCCAUGACAAGCUUUGUGACCUCUGCUCCACUUAUAUCCAUACUAGGAUGCUCCACAGAGCGCAAUGUACUCCUUCAGCUGCUGUCUCAGAGCUGCUGAGCAAAAAGGAAAUCAUACCUUUAACUUCUAGGCUGGCAGUGGUCUUCCCAUCAGCUGUGUGGCAGCUGUAUUCUCCUGAGUCCC